ACGAUCCAGGUGUACCCGAGGUCGUGGACGGCGGUGAUGCUGACGUUCGACAACGCGGGGAUGUGGAACAUCAGGUCCAACAUGUGGGAGAGGUACUACCUCGGGGCGCAGUUGUACGUCAGCGUGGUAUCGCCGGCGAGGUCGCUCCGGGACGAGUACAACAUGCCGGAGAUAGCCCUCCGCUGCGGCAAGGUCGUCGGCCUGCCGAUGCCGCCGUCCUACCUCCCCGCAUAAUAAAGCAGAACCCCCAACCAAGCUCAGGAACCCAUCCAUGGUGCUAGCUGCUGCUGUACACACAAACAACGCAGGCGACAGGGAGAGC
rnacentral:lncRNA from 1 species